UCAGGGUUGUACAUGUAUAAAAGGAACAUGGCUGUAUUUAUCAGUAUCUGAAACUUCACAGAUUUCAACAGAGCAGAUUUCGAAAAUGCAGACCAAAGUCCUCGUUGUUAUGUUGAUGGUAGCCACGGUGCUAAUGGUAGAGGUCAAAGGUGCACGAUUGACGAACGAUUGUCUCGACAUCUGUCGCCGAAGAAUUGACAGAUGUAAAUCAAAUUGUAAUCAGAACAACAAGAACAAAAACAAAAGAAAGAAGUGCAAGGACGUCUGUAGAAAAUCUAAUAACCAAUGUAAAAAGUUCUGCCGCAACGACGACCCUACUGAUGAUUUUACUUACGAUUACUAACACUUUUGUGAAAUGAGUGGUUCUUGAACAUUCCUUGGUGUGUUUAAUUGAAUUUCUAUUUCUGUUUAACCUGACUUAUUAAAAAAAUAAUUGGGAAACAUAAUGUAAAAGGGUUUACAUACGUGCAAUCUCCAUAUCUUCGUCUAUAUAUUUAAGGUUUGAAUAAAAGCAUAUUUAUAUA